rnacentral:lncRNA from 1 species
GGGUACUGGAGUUGCUGUUGCUGUAUGUGUUAUUGAAUAGCUGGUCUUUCGGGGUAGGUAAAUAACGGUUAGUUGUAGGGUGGUUCUAAAGCAUGACUUGGGUAGUGUAAGAGAAAUGCAUAUAGAUAUACUAAUUGUCUUGUCACUGCAUAUUAUACCUGCAACUUAGUUUUUAUCGUAUUAAGUUAUGUGAACUCACUUUUUGUCGUUUUCCAGAUGAAGUAGGGAUAGAGCCGAGAUCUGAGUUGCUGGGUACGGAGCCUAGUCUUUAGCGCCAUAGGGCCAGGGUCUCCUUGUGGCGGGUUACUGCCUGUAAAAGUUUAUAUUAGUAUGGAUGUUGACUUGCUGGAAGGGUAUGGUAUGGGGUGUCAUUGAUGUAUAGGUAGAACUACAAGUUUACCUUGAGUUAGAACAA